AUGCGUUCAUUUGCCUCAAACUUUAGAGGGGCUCAUUUAAGACUUAAUCGAAUGAUUACCCAACAGGUAAAAAGAGCCUUUGUUUCCUCUCAUCGAGAUAGAGGUAGGCAAAAGAGGGAUUUUCGUCGUUUGUGGAUCACUCGGAUAAACGCAGCAACGCGGAAGAAAUUGAUUCUUAAUCGUAAAAUGCUUGCACAAGUAGCUGUAUCAAAUCCAAAUAAUCUUUACACGAUUUCCAAUAAAAUAAAGAUCAUCAAUUAA
rnacentral:rRNA from 1 species